rnacentral:lncRNA from 1 species
CCUUAUUUAUUUCAUCUGUUUAUAGUUGAUGAAAGCAAAUAUAAAUUAUUCAUUUCAGAGAUGAUAAUAUAUAUAUUGGAAGAAUGAAUGUAAUAAUUAUGUAAGCUUUGUAUUUGAUUUAAAGUAAUCAAGAUACAAUAUAUGAAUGCUUUAGUUAGUUUACUUUCACUUGCUUGUGUUGCUUGCCCUCGUGCAAGCCAUGUAUAUUGAAAUUUUUUCUGGGCAUUUCUUUAUACAUGUUUGUUGUUGUUGUUGAGCCUUGGGCGAACAGAGAAGGUUCUAUUCAUUCGGCGUCUAUGUACGGGCCCAAACCGGCCAAAUUGGUGGGUCGGGGCGUGACAUUAGUAAUAGUAAUAUUUAUUAUUGUUGUUAGAUAUAAAGGAGUAAAGAGAGAAAAAAUUAUUAUUUU